UACAGAGGGGGCCAGCGUUAUUCGGAAUUAUUGGGCGUAAAGAGCUCGUAGGCGGUGUGUCACGUCGUUCGUGAAAACCUGCAGCUUAACUGUGGGCGUGCGGUCGAUACGGGCAUCACUGGAGUUCGGCAGGGGAGACUGGAAUUCCUGGUGUAGCGGUGAAAUGCGCAGAUAUCAGGAGGAACACCGGUGGCGAAGGCGGGUCUCUGGACAGUUCCUGACGCUGAGGCACGAAGGCCAGGGGAGCAAACGGG
rnacentral:rRNA from 1 species